rnacentral:rRNA from 1 species
CUACGGGAUGCAGCAGUUAGGCAUAAUCUACAAUGCGCGGAAGCGUGAUAGUUUGAGCCAGAGUGUUUUGCAAUUGCAAGACUUUUGCCAAAUCUAAAAAUUUUGGCGAAUAAGGACUGGGUAAGACGGGUGCCAGCCGCCGCGGUAAUACCCGCGGUCCAAGUCGCAGCCAUUUUUAUUGGGUCUAAAACAUCCGUAGCUUGUUUAGUAAGUUUCUUGUGAAAUCCGGUUUCUCAAGAAUUGGGCGGGCAAGAAGUACUGCUAAGCUAGAGACUGGGAGACGUAAGGAGUACGUUCGGAGUAUCGGUAAAAUGAGUUAAUCCCGGACGGACUAACAAUUAGCGAAGGCAUCUUACGAGAACAGUUCUGACAGUAAGGGAUGAAGGCUAGGGGCGCAAAACGGAUUAGAUACCCCGGUAGUC